CAGAUACUACAGUGUGUGUUAAGAAACCAUGUCAAAAUACGUCACACUAAACAGUAUGAAUUGUUUCAUAAACUAUUGUAUUUAAUAAUUACUACUAUUUUGGGCAUAAUCAAAGGGACGGGUUUAUUUGUGUGGGUGGGAUAAGCAGCAUCUUUCAUCAAUACUUUACACUUGAGGAUUAUUAAGAGGUCGUGUUUCUAAUCAGAUAAUGAGGCCUUGUUCACGCCUGUGCUGGUUUUGUCUGUGCAGGUUCUAAUGAAACCGACCACAUCUGAUGGUGAAGCAACACACCUUUAAAGAUGCAGCCUCUGUGAUGCUGUUUAAAAGCUUAUUGCAUUUCCUGGAGGGACUGGCGACGAGGCAGAAAACACCAGCUUAAUAUUUACUGCAUUAGGCUUUUUACACUCGUACUGUGACGUCCUGCAGCUGCAGCGCAAGAUGACCUUGAUUCUUCUGAUGAUUCUCUACUUCACCAUUUCACCUGUUGCUAAAUGGCACCGAGGCUAUUGGCCACGACCUCGCCAGCCUUCCAUCCCUCUGUGGCCGCUGUUUCCAGGUCUGCUUCCACGACCGUUUCCUCCACCACCACCACCGUUACCGGCACCAAAGCCAGCCACGACUACGACCUCAACCACGACUAAAGCCACGACUACGACUCCAACCACCACCACAACGACCCCCACUCCAACCACAACGACUCCAGCUCCAACAACGACUCCAGCUCCAACAACGACUCCAGCUCCAACAACGACUCCAGCUCCAACAACGACUCCAGCUCCAACCACGACUCCAGCUCCAACAACGACUCCAGCUCCAACCCCGACUCCAGCUCCAACAACGACUCCAGCUCCAACAACGACUCCAGCUCCAACCACAACCCCGGCUCCAACUACUCCAACCCCAGACCCGACGGUCCCGACCACCAUUGCUGUUAGUCCACGAGGAGACAACAGAUAAUGCGUGAUGAGCUGAGAGCAGAAUUAGCUUUUCCUUCAUUCACUAUUCUUUGGUUUGCACAAAAAAAAUCUUCAUCUGGAACCCUAGAAUGUUGGUAAUAUUUUAGACUUUGGAAGCAUAGUUAAAACAAGAUAUUAAGUUUCACAAAAGUAUUUUCUUGCAUGCUUUUAAAUUUCAGUAUUUAUUAAUACCAAUAUGUAUGAUUUUUAAUAUAUUUGCUGCUUACUUUUCCUAUAAUGUCCAUGUUACGUUUUCAGAAUGUAGUGACGUAUUGUGAUGUGGAAUAGGAACCGGUCUUUUGGUGCGAGACACCAGCGGGACUGUCUUGAUGACAUACUGAUGUAAUAUCCACUCAGCGUGGCCACAUUUCACCACCCCUGGAUCAACGCAGCUUAAGAAAAGGAUGAGCGUUAAGCCUGUAAUACCCUCAUGUCUGCUUCGCCAGUGAAGUGUCUUGCACUAUAUUUUUUAUCAUGACUCAGCCUCUUGACCAGUAUUUUCUUUGCUGCACUGCCAAAAUCUUUGCUGCACUUAACAGAACAGAACAUGGUCCACUUCCUCAACAUUCCCACCAAUGAACAGCUGUUAUUUAAUUCCCAACCAAAUCACUGUGGGCUCAUGGUUUAUUUGCUUUCCCCAAAAGUGGGUUUGCACAAAGAUUUGUUAUGAAUGUACUAUUUUAAAGAUUUGGAAAAGUUAGUUUACAGGCAAACUUCACAGCCUAAAUUUAAUCAUUUUAAAAUAGGAACUAAAAUAAACUGAACCAAAUAAUUUUUUGUUUAGUCA
ensembl:lncRNA